GGGAAGGCAGCUAAGGCCCCGCGAGAAAUUGAGCACAGCAGCUGCUGGCCCAGGUGCUACGCCCCUCACUGCCCGGGGCGGUGGGGCCCCGCCGGCCGCUCCUAGUGCGGGGUCCGCCCAGCCCACGCGCACCCGGAACUCGCGCUGGCCCGGAACUCGCGCUGGCCCGGAACUCGCGCUGGCCCGGAACUCGCGCUGGCCCAGAACUCGCGCUGGCAGGGAAGCACCGCGCGCAGCCCCGCUUCCCGCCCGCGCCUCUCCCUCCACACCUCCUCACAAGCUGAGGGAGCCGGCUCCGGCCUUAGCCAGCCCAGAAAGGGGCUCCCACAGUGCAGCGGCGGGCUGAAGGGCUCCUCAAGUGCCGCCAAAGUGGGAGCCCAGGCAGAGGAGGCGCCGAGAGCGAGCGAGGGCUGUGAGGACUGCCAGCAUGCUGUCACCUCUCAGUAUAAUUUAAGAUCAACCCUAAUUGAAAAUACUAUAUUUUGAAGGGUCACGUUUCUCUUUAGAUUACACACAGUGUCUUGUGAUACUGCCUCUGGUCAGCUGAUUUCUCCUUGCCUCAUUCCAACUUCUUUUGUCAGAAAAUUCUUCAAGAUUGCCACAUUCUUUCACAAUAAUAUGGAUGAAAGAUAUCUCACCAGCACAAGGGAGGUGGGAAGAGAACAUGGAAGUCAAGCACCUUUUUAAAAGAUUUGAAAUGGAAGCUGUGCACAUGACUGUGGAUCAUACCUCUCAUUCACGGCCACAUACAGCUGCAAGUCUCUACGCUUAUGGCCAUACAGCUCAGCCAAAAGGGGUGUAUGUGGGAAGUUCUGUUAAUAAAAAGAGGAAGGGGAGAAUAAAUAAUAGUAGGGGACAAUAACAUUCAAUUUAAUAUAUACAUUGAAUCAAGGAAUACUUCACCACAAUAACCACUAAAAGAUACACACACACGCACACAUACCCACACACACUACUCCUAUCGAUGUCUAUCUAUAUAAGAUAUAUAUAUAUUAUAUCAUAUAUAUAAUAUAUAUCUUAGCUGAAAGUAAAGGGAAAUAUCCUAAAGCACUGCUCAGUUCUGUGAAUACCCUAAGCACUUUUUAUAGACAUAGAGAGGAUCUCAGAAGACUAAGACUAGCAUGAUGUUUAAAAGGCAAACCAAAUAUAUGGAACUAGAAUAAAAACUUAUUUUGAAAAGACACAGCUAAAUAUUCUCGUGUAAACUUUUUGAGGCUGUUUUAGUGAGGGUUACUGUUUGUAUACAGCAAACUCUAACUGCACCUAGCACAUGAAAACUAAUUAGACUUAUUAAAAGACUCUCCAGGGCUUGUAGACGUAACAGCACCUUGGACUACAGGUUUGAAAAUAGGCAUACGUUAAGAAGACAGUUUCAGAUUGAGAUAUAAGAAAUACAGCAACCAUCUUCACCAGGAGAAACAUGGCUAGCUAGGAUGAUGUCUCCACUGUUGUGGGACUAUUACAAAUGAAUUACAACUUUCACUUUGUCUUUGGCUUAUUCUCUCCAGAUAUAAAGUCUUAGGUGGGAGUAUAUGAUUAGCUAAGACUUCAUCACAUGUCCUGUACUCUGGUUGCCUCUGUAACAAAAGUGGGGCAAUUUCUCUUGCCAACACUACACAUAAUGGAGACUCCCCCAAAACUCAGAAGGGAGGUAAGAUGCAAAUUAAACAAUUUUUAAGUCUACUACAGAUCCUGGCAAAGGCUUUCUAGUUUGAUUUUAUAGCCAGUGGUGAUCUGCCUCCAAAUCCUAUCUAUCUUGAAUUAUGGCUUAUGCAGGUUUAAUAAGUCACCUCUUACUAGUUUAAUUCAGGAGCCUCUUCUCUUGUCUUGGACAUUUUUGGUAAUUAAGCCUACUCUUUCUACUUGAAACAACCAUACUCAUGUUUCAGGACUUUAUCUCCCUCUGAUUCUGCCUUCUCUGGUUGUUCUCUAUCAGACUUUCAUUUAUUUCUCUAUUUUCAAAAAACUGAUUUUCUCUAGAAAUUCAGUCUUUGCUUCUUUUUUCUUCUGAAUUUCAUACUAUGAGCAACACCAUUCACUUUUUACUUUCCACAUUUAACACAUAUAUAAAUAAAUUCCAAAUCAACAUACUUCCUGCUUGGCCUCUCUCCUCGUAAGAUACAGAUUGGAAUUAAAUGCUUACACCAAGAACUUCACAUGCCCAUAACCAAACUAAAUAUGUUCUCACAAAUUGUUUUUUUCCUCUUAAUCUCUAUCUUUAUGAAAAAACACUAUUUUUAAUUGAUGCAAACAGUUAUUGAAUCUUCUCUUUCUCUUCCUCAAUCUCAUAACCCCCAUGAACAUCCUUUUGGUUGUCAAGAUCUAUUAAUUCUACGCUUAAGUCUUGCUUCUUUCUCUCUGCUCUUUUCUACCCUUACCCUCCCUGUCUUAGCUUAGGCCCUACAUAUUGUGUCUUUUAAUGAACUGAUGAUGGCCUAUGGGUCAGUUAUGUCAUACCAUAUUUGUCUCCUUGGUGUUUAGUGCUUGGGAUAUAGUAUCAUUAUCGAAUUGAAACAUUUUAAAAUUCCAUUGUAAAGGAGAAACGGUCUUGUAUAUAUGACUAAAUAUAUGUGCAUCUGUGCCUACAUUCACUAUAAUCAUUAUGACUUAGAUAAGAUGUAAAAUAGAUUUAAUGACUAAAAUAUAUGAACAAUAUAUGGCAAUUUAUAUGUGAAUUACUGUUUGAAGUAUAUGUGAAAAUAUCAGUGGGACAUUUUAAAAUCUUCUGUACACACUCAUGUGUUCAAUAUUGAGCCAGUAUAUGAAUGAGUCAGAGUAGCUGUGGCUUCUUGAGCUGGUUGCUCAGCUAUUCCUGUGCUUUCCUUCUUUUACGUUUCUUUGUUCCACUUUAUUUU
rnacentral:lncRNA from 1 species